CGCGCUCGCUCGCUCGCUCGCACCUAAACACAUUGCAAGCUGCUGGAUGAACGCUUUUGAAUCACUACUUGGCUAAUUGUACAAAUAGAAGGGAUCUAUCAUUUGCAAGAACCGAUUUUUACACACCGACGUGGUUAUUUUUUGCUGGAUGAUCAGAGCUGAGCCGCGGUCACCAUGACGACAGACGAAGCAGAGAGUCACCAGAAGAAGCCAAGGCAGCAAGAGGAGGCUGGCGGGGACGCCAAGCCGGCCUCUCCCGAAGACCAGCGCCUCCGGCCUCGCAACCGCAACUCUGCCGGCGGCCGAGGCCUCUCCCGCCUCUUCUCCUCCUUCCUGAAGAGACGCUCGCAGUGUGAGAGCGAGGGAGGGGAGAAGGAGGAGGAGGAGGAGGAAGAAGAGGCAAAAGCCCCCAUUGCUGACCCUGAACCUGAGCUGAAGAUUGAGGGAGAGGUGGCCCAUGAUCAGCACUCGCUUAGCAGCGCUGAGGCCCAGGCUGCCCAAGUAGAGAAGAAAGAAGGUGAGGAGGAGGAGGAGGCUGGAAAAGACAAACCGCUCAACAAGGAGAAAGCAGAGGCGGCUACACCGGAGAAAGACGGGGAUAACGAGAAGGACGAGGAGCAGAAGGAGGACGCUUCUGAAGGCAGCCGUAACCAAGAGAAAGAAGAAGAGGAGGAAUCCAAAACUCCCAAAGCUCCACGUCGCCCCAAAACCAUGCAAGUUAAAGUCACCCUGCUGGACGACACUCUCUACGAGUGUGAACUGGAUAAACAUGCCAAAGGCCAGGAGCUGUUCACAAAAGUAUGCGAUCACCUCAAUCUGCUGGAGAGAGACUAUUACGGGCUGGUCAUCUGGGAGACGCCCAAGGUGAAGACGUUGAUGGAUCUGGCCAAGGAGAUCCGCAGGCAGGUGCAAGGGGCCAACUAUGAUUUCACGUUCAAUGUGAAAUUCUACCCUCCGGAUCCAGCCCAAUUGUCGGAGGACAUCACAAGGUAUUACCUGUGCCUGCAACUGCGCAAGGACAUCCUGCAAGGGCGUCUGCCAUGCUCUUUUGUCACCCUGGCCUUGCUGGGCUCCUACGCUCUGCAGUCAGAGCUGGGCGAGUAUGACCCCGAGGUGCACGCCGCUGAUUACGCUAAGGAGAUGAAGAUGGUUAAGGGGCAGACCAAGGAGCUUGAGGACAAGAUGAUGGAGCUACACCGCACUUACCGGUCAAUAAGUCCAGCUCAAGCUGACAUGAUGUUCCUGGAGAACGCAAAGAAGCUGUCAAUGUAUGGAGUUGACCUCCACCCUGCCAAGGAUCUGGAUGGUGUUGACAUCAUGCUGGGAGUUUGCUCCAAUGGUCUGAUGGUUUAUAAAGACAAACUGAGGAUCAACCGUUUUCCCUGGCCCAAAGUCCUGAAGGUCUCAUACAAGCGCAGCAGCUUCUUCAUCAAAAUACGUCCAUCCGAGGUAGAACAUUAUGAGAGCGCUAUCGGCUUCAAACUUCCAAACUACAAAGCAGCCAAGAAACUGUGGAAAGUGUGCGUAGAGCAUCACACAUUCUUCAGGCUGAUCUCCACGGAGAUGGUCGCAACUCCCAAAACGUUUCUGGCUCUGGGCUCCAAAUUUCGCUACAGCGGUCGAACUCAGGCUCAAACCAAACAGGCCAGCUCGCUCAUUGACAGACCGGCUCCGGCUUUCCAGCGCACGUCGAGUAAGAGGAACUCCCGCAGUAUGGAUGGAGCUAUGGCGUCCACCCCGGGCAACAAAUCCAGCCGUCCGGUCAGCGCCCCCAUCAUGUCGCCGCUGUCUCCCGGGGAGAACACGCCGUCGCCUCUGCUGCACACCCUUCACCUGGCCCAGCGCACGCCCAAGUUCCAGCGCUCGGCAGACAGGAAAGCCGAGCUGAAGGGCCACGGUGGGAAAAGCCGAUCCAGCAAAAGCCAGAGCCCCAGACCGGAGUCCACUCCGGAAAUGAAGCAGCCAUUGGCCGGGAGAGAACGGAGACGUUCCCCCUCCGUGACCGCUGCCAAUGGCCAACGAGAGAAAAAGAGCCAGCACUCUCCUCAGGACAAAACAAAGACGGAAAUGAUGCGAGUGAGGAAGAAACGAGCUAAGAAACUUGAGGGUGAAACUAUUUAUAUCAGACAUAGCAAUUUAAUGUUGGAGGACGUGGAUAAGACCCAGACGGAGAUCAUGCGUCACCACACGAGUAUCAGCGAGCUGAAGAGAAGUUUCAUGGAGUCUGUACCAGAGCCUCGACCCAGUGAAUGGGACAAGCGUCUUUCCAGCAACUCGCCUUUCCGCACAGCGAGCAUCAACGGCCAGCUGCAACCUGCGUCUCCGGUGCUGAAGACCCAGACAAUCACCAUCUCGGACGUCACCAACUCUCUUCGAGGAACUGUGGCCUACAAAGACAUCCCCUUAGUUCACACUGAGACAAAGACCAUUACAUACGAGUCAGCCCAGGUGUCUCUCCCACAGCCUGUGGACAACUUUGCAGAACGAGACUCCGGAGUGCUGCUGAGUGCCCAGACCAUCACAUCCGAGACCAUCAGCACCACCACUACCACCCAGAUCACCAAGACGGUGAAAGGGGGAAUCUCAGAAACUCGCAUUGAGAAGAGGAUUGUCAUUACUGGAGAUACUGAAAUUGAUCAUGACAAGGCUUUGGCUCAGGCUAUAAAAGAAGCAAAAGAACAACACCCAGAUAUGUCUGUCACCAAAGUGGUUGUCCACCAAGAAACGGAGAUUUCCCCAGAGUAAGAUAAGCUCAUCCAUUGGAGAGAGCUGGCAAAAGGGCUUUUGCGGGUUCAAGUGCCACCACCGGAUUUGCCUCCUGCAGAAACCACAAAGGACAAGCUAAGCCUGUUAACAGCGACACUAGGAAAACGGGAAGAUCGCCAGGUUAUUGGCCACAUCUCUCCUGCGGAGCCACCAGUUGACGUUUGGAGAAUACAACUUGGCAUUUGGAAAAGAAAAGAACAGAA